rnacentral:rRNA from 1 species
UGGGGAAUAUUGGACAAUGGGGGCAACCCUGAUCCAGCAAUGCCGCGUGUGUGAAGAAGGCCUGCGGGUUGUAAAGCACUUUCAGUAGAGAAGAAAAGCCUGAGGUUAAUACCCUCGAGUCUUGACGUUACCUACAGAAGAAGCACCGGCUAACUCCGUGCCAGCAGCCGCGGUAAUACGGAGGGUGCGAGCGUUAAUCGGAAUUACUGGGCGUAAAGCGCGCGUAGGCGGCUUGGUCAGUCGGAUGUGAAAGCCCCGGGCUUAACCUGGGAAUUGCAUUCGAUACUGCCGAGCUAGAGUAUGGUAGAGGGAAGUGGAAUUUCCGGUGUAGCGGUGAAAUGCGUAGAUAUCGGAAGGAACACCAGUGGCGAAGGCGACUUCCUGGGCCAAUACUGACGCUGAGGUGCGAAAGCGUGGGGAGCAAACAGGAUUAGAUACCCCCGUAGUCC